ACGAACGCUGGCGGCGUGCUUAACACAUGCAAGUCGAACGGAAAGGCCCUGCUUUUGUGGGGUGCUCGAGUGGCGAACGGGUGAGUAACACGUGAGUAACCUGCCCUUGACUUUGGGAUAACUUCAGGAAACUGGGGCUAAUACCUGAUAGGAGCUCCUGCUGCAUGGUGGGGGUUGGAAAGUUUCGGCGGUUGGGGAUGGACUCGCGGCUUAUCAGCUUGUUGGUGGGGUAGUGGCUUACCAAGGCUUUGACGGGUAGCCGGCCUGAGAGGGUGACCGGCCACAUUGGGACUGAGAUACGGCCCAGACUCCUACGGGAGGCAGCAGUGGGGAAUAUUGCACAAUGGGCGGAAGCCUAAUGCAGCAACGCCGCGUGCGGGAUGACGGCCUUCGGGUUGUAAACCGCUUUCGCCUGUGACGAAGCGUGAGUGACGGUAAUGGGUAAAGAAGCACCGGCUAACUACGUG
rnacentral:rRNA from 1 species